GUGCUCACUUCAGUAGCACAUAGUACUAAAACCGGAAUGAUACAGAUAAGAUUAGCAAGGUCCUCAAGGAUGACAUUCUUAUCCUCAGCUGAGAAUCUCAUUUCU